AGCAGUGGUUUGUAGUUCUCCUUGAAGAGUUCCUUCACAUCCCUUGUAAGUUGGAUUCUGAGGUAUUUUAUUCUCUUUGAAGCAAUUGUGAAUGGUGGGAGUUCACUCAUGAUUUGGCUCUCUGUUUGUCUGUUAUUGGUGUAUAGGAAUGCUUGUGGUUUUUGCACAUUGAUUUUGUGUCCUGAGACUUUACUGAAGUUGCUUAUCCCCUUAAGUAGAUUUUGGGCUGAGAUGAUGGGGUUUUCUAAAUAUACAAUCAUGUCAUCUGCAAACAGAGACAAUUUGACUUCCUCGUUUCCUAACUGAAUACCCUUUAUUUCUUUCUCUUGCCUGAUUGCCCUGGCCAGAACUUCCAAUGCGUCUUCUGCCAUAAUUGUAAGUUUCCUGAGGCCUCUCAGUCAUGAUACCUAUACAGCCUAUGGAAUUGUGAGUCAAUUAAACCUGUUUUUGUUUUCAUAAAUUACCCAGUCUCUGGUAGUUCUUUAUAGCAGUGUGAGAAUGUACUAAUACACAAGCCCACUCUAGGCAUUCUCUUCCAUGUAAGU
rnacentral:lncRNA from 1 species